UAAGUAUGGCAGCAUACAUGCACUGCUCUCCUGGCCACUCAGUCCCUAGAAAAGUGUUGAUGGUAUCAGGAUCAUAACUGAUCAAAUGUCUACGUACAUAGCUCAUGUACCUUCCUGCGGACACUCCUUCUCUCGGCAAGGCAUUUGCAUAAAACUCCUUCACCAACUCAAUACUAGCUGGUGCUCGAUAAGUAGUCAGUC
rnacentral:lncRNA from 1 species